UACGUAGGUGGCGAGCGUUGUCCGGAUUUAUUGGGCGUAAAGCGCGCGCAGGCGGUUGUCUAAGUCUGCUGUGAAAUCUCCCGGCUCAACUGGGAGGGGCGGCGGAGACUGGGCGACUGGAGGGACCUAGAGGCCGGUGGAAUUCCCGGUGUAGUGGUGAAAUGCGUAGAGAUCGGGAGGAACACCUGUGGCGAAGGCGGCCGGCUGGGGUACCCUGACGCUGAGGCGCGACAGCGGUGGGGAGCGAACCGG
rnacentral:rRNA from 1 species